rnacentral:rRNA from 1 species
GACGAACGCUGGCGGCGUGCUUAACACAUGCAAGUCGAACGGAAAGGCCUCUUUCGGGGGGUACUCGAGUGGCGAACGGGUGAGUAACACGUGAGUAACCUGCCCUUGACUUUGGGAUAACUUCAGGAAACUGGGGCUAAUACCGGAUAGGAGCUCCUGCUGCAUGGUGGGGGUUGGAAAGUUUCGGCGGUUGGGGAUGGACUCGCGGCUUAUCCGCUUGUUGGUGGGGUAGUGGCUUACCAAGGCUUUGACGGGUAGCCGGCCUGAGAGGGUGACCGGCCACAUUGGGACUGAGAUGCGGCCCAGACUCCUACGGGAGGCAGCAGUGGGGAAUAUUGCACAAUGGGUGGAAGCCUGAUGCAGCAACGCCGUGUGCGGGAUGACGGCCUUAGGGUUGUAAACCGCUUUCGCUCAUGACGAAGCUUUGUGUGACGGUAGUGGGUAAAGAAGCACCGGCUAACUACGUG